AUCAAGCCUUAAUCUUAUUAAUAACAGUGAAGGAUUUCAGGGAAUGGCAAGCUCUUCUUCAGGAAACAGUGGUGGUUCUUUCAUGACUAAUAAAAUGGUGCCACUGAGAUCAAAGAAACAAAAGAUUUCACAUCCAGUUGAGGAAGCACCAACCAUUCAAACACUCAGAAUGAAUGCACCUGUGAAGAAGAGCCAGAAACUUGGGGAUAAAAUCACAGCUACUUCAACAACUAGUUUCACCAUUUGGGAAGACUGACACUGCUUCAGUACUUCAUGAGGCAACAAUUUGCAUCAAGGCACUUCAUGAACAAAUUCAGGUUUUGACAUCUCCUUAUUUCCAAAAUAAAUCAAAGACAAACCUCACAGGGCUUGCAUGGUAGAGGAUUGUCCCUUGUUCCUAUAUCACCAAACAUCAUCAACUUUGCAAACCAACAGAGUGACCCAGAAAGGUUUGCAUGGACCCUUGGGAGGGGCACCCCAAAGAAUUAAUAAGUGUAAUAAAGUUAUGUUCAUGAAUUCUCUAUUACUUAUAUAUGUUUAAUAAUUAAUUAUAUAUCCAUCUUUUGAUAACUCUGGGUACACAGAUCAAAUAUAUUAAUGGGGAAUCUAAUUGUUGACUUUGCUUCUUUGAUUUUGUUUGUUUGUAUCCGGAAUAGAUUUCAAUUCAAGUCAUAGAGGUCUUGAUUAAUGAACAUAAAUCAUAGCAGUUGAAGUGAAUCGGCCGGCUAUUUCUAGGUCAUUGAGUUGAUAAUGACAUUUCUUUGAUUAACUCUCGUGACGUGUUUAUUAGGUGGCCAGCUGCUUGCAUGAACUUAAGCGUAGAUCUAGGGUUUUUGUUGUUAUGUUUGCUUAAUUUUGCAUGAAUUCUUUCUUAUGAGACACUAAAACUUAAGAACAUUAUUUGAUUAUUGAGUUCUAGAUUGUCAAUAAGAACAUCUAACUAGAUGUGGUAGUCUAGUUCAUAGUUCACUGCCUUCUCUAUCAAUGUUUGAGAAAUUCUUGAGUGAGGGAUACUUCAACAAUAUAAAUGUCACUAUAGAGUGGUUGCUUGGUUUUGUUUUUAAUUAGUUUAACAACUUGGUUUUUUUAAUAGAAAGAAAAGAAGUCACAUCUUCAUCUUCAUUAUCAUGAAUAAUUAAAAGAAACAAAUAGCAAUUAGUCAAACUUCACAA